UUUAUGGAGAGUUUGAUCCUGGCUCAGGAUGAACGCUGGCGGCGUGCCUAAUACAUGCAAGUCGAGCGAACAGAUAAGGAGCUUGCUCCUUUGACGUUAGCGGCGGACGGGUGAGUAACACGUGGGUAACCUACCUAUAAGACUGGAAUAACUCCGGGAAACCGGGGCUAAUGCCGGAUAACAUGUUGAACCGCAUGGUUCUACAGUGAAAGACGGUCUUGCUGUCACUUAUAGAUGGACCCGCGCCGUAUUAGCUAGUUGGUGGGGUAACGGCCUACCAAGGCGACGAUACGUAGCCGACCUGAGAGGGUGAUCGGCCACACUGGAACUGAGACACGGUCCAGACUCCUACGGGAGGCAGCAGUAGGGAAUCUUCCGCAAUGGGCGAAAGCCUGACGGAGCAACGCCGCGUGAGUGAUGAAGGUCUUCGGAUCGUAAAGCUCUGUUGUUAGGGAAGAACAAAUGUGUAAGUAACUGUGCACAUCUUGACGGUACCUAACCAGAAAGCCACGGCUAACUACGUGCCAGCAGCCGCGGUAAUACGUAGGUGGCAAGCGUUAUCCGGAAUUAUUGGGCGUAAAGCGCGCGUAGGCGGUUUUUUAAGUCUGAUGUGAAAGCCCACGGCUCAACCGUGGAGGGUCAUUGGAAACUGGAAAACUUGAGUGCAGAAGAGGAAAGUGGAAUUCCAUGUGUAGCGGUGAAAUGCGCAGAGAUAUGGAGGAACACCAGUGGCGAAGGCGGCUUUCUGGUCUGCAACUGACGCUGAUGUGCGAAAGCGUGGGGAUCAAACAGGAUUAGAUACCCUGGUAGUCCACGCCGUAAACGAUGAGUGCUAAGUGUUAGGGGGUUUCCGCCCCUUAGUGCUGCAGCUAACGCAUUAAGCACUCCGCCUGGGGAGUACGGUCGCAAGACUGAAACUCAAAGGAAUUGACGGGGACCCGCACAAGCGGUGGAGCAUGUGGUUUAAUUCGAAGCAACGCGAAGAACCUUACCAAAUCUUGACAUCCUUUGACCGCUCUAGAGAUAGAGUUUUCCUCUUCGGAGGACAAAGUGACAGGUGGUGCAUGGUUGUCGUCAGCUCGUGUCGUGAGAUGUUGGGUUAAGUCCCGCAACGAGCGCAACCCUUGAACUUAGUUGCCAUCAUUCAGUUGGGCACUCUAAGUUGACUGCCGGUGACAAACCGGAGGAAGGUGGGGAUGACGUCAAAUCAUCAUGCCCCUUAUGAUUUGGGCUACACACGUGCUACAAUGGACAAUACAAAGGGCAGCGAAACCGCGAGGUCAAGCAAAUCC
rnacentral:rRNA from 1 species